rnacentral:sRNA from 12 species
CCUCCGGAGCGUUACACCAAAUGUUAGUAGCCAGUAUUACCGGCAAAAGCAGACGCGAAGAACGAGGAA